rnacentral:rRNA from 1 species
UACUGCUUAUGGACAGAACUGUGGGGACGCAGAAGGAGAGCACGAGCCGGAAAUGGAAAAGCCGGUACAAGCGUAUAGCAGUCAUGCAGGCAAAACCGCAUGAAAAAUGUAAAGCGUUAUGUGGAUCGAACAUUAGUAGAGAAGCGUGUGAGCCAGCUGCCAAGAAAAGCCGCUAUUGUUUCAUAAGUACCCGUACCGUAAACCGACACAGGUGGAUGAGGAGAGAAUCCUAAGGCCGGCGGGAGAAGUGUUGUUAAGGAACUCGGCAAAAUGACUCCGUAACUUCGGGAGAAGGAGUGCCACAGAGAUGUGGCCGCAGAGAAAUGGCCCAAGCAACUGUUUAGCAAAAACACAGGUCUAUGCAAAACCGAAAGGUGAGGUAUAUGGGCUGACGCCUGCCCGGUGCUGGAAGGUUAAGAGGAGAGGUUAGAGCAAUCGAAGCUUUGAAUUUAAGCCCCAGUAAACGGCGGCCGUAACAAUAACGGUCCUAAGGUAGCGAAAUUCCUUGUCGGGUAAGUUCCGACCCGCACGAAAGGCGUAAUGAUUUGGGCACUGUCUCAACAACACACCCGGUGAAAUUGAAAUACCAGUGAAGAUGCUGGUUACCUGCGCCAGGACGGAAAGACCCCAUGGAGCUUUACUCCAGUUUGAUACUGGGAUUCGGUACUGUCUGUACAGGAUAGGUGGGAGGCUAGGAAAUGGUGACGCCAGUUGCCAUGGAGCCAACCUUGGGAUACCACCCUUACAGUACUGGGUUUCUAACCUGCAGCCGUAACCCGGCUGGGGGACAAUGUCUGACGGGGAGUUUGACUUGGGCGGUCGCCUCCGAAAGAGUAUCGGAGGCGCUCAAAGGUUCCCUCAGAACGGUUGGAAACCGUUCGAAGAGUGCAAAGGCAGAAGGGAGCUUGACUGCGACACCGACGGGUGGAGCAGAUACGAAAGUAGGACUUAGUGAUCCGGUGGUAUAAAGUGGGAUUGCCAUCGCUCAACGGAUAAAAGCUACCCUGGGAUAACAGGCUUAUCACUCCCAAGAGUUCACAUCGACGGAGUGGUUUGGCACCUCGAUGUCGGCUCAUCGCAUCCUGGAGCUUUAGCAGGUUCCAAGGGUUGGGCUGUUCGCCCAUUAAAGCGGUACGCGAGCUGGGUUCAGAACGUCGUGAGACAGUUCGGUCCCUAUCCGGCGUGGGCGUAGGAUAUUUGAGAGGAGCUGUCCUUAGUACGAGAGGACCGGGAUGGACAAACCUCUGGUGUAUCUGUUGUUUUACCAAAGGCAUGGCAGAGUAGCCAAGUUUGGCAGGGAUAAACGCUGAAGGCAUCUAAGCGUGAAGCCCCCCUCAAGAUAAGAUAUCCCAUCUUCGGAGUAAGACCCCUUGAAGACUACAAGGUUGAUAGGCUUCAGGUGUAAGUGUGGUAACGCACUCAGCUGAGAAGUACUAAUAGGUCGAGGACUUAUC